rnacentral:lncRNA from 1 species
AAUAUGAUUCCUGCAUCAUGUAAGGUUUACAUUUCAUCAGAAUAGAAUAUACAUUCGUUGUUGAUGCACAAAGGCCCAGCCCAACUCCUCACCCUCCACUUUUUAUUUACUAUUUGGACUGUACGAAAUUACAUGUUGCAAGUUGACUAUUAAAUAUUGGAAUUGUAUAAUACAAUUAUUGGAAGAGGGCGGCGAAUCAAAAGUGUAAUUUUCCUACAAAAACCUGAAGCUUUCAGAAAUCCGUCCUUUCUCUCUCUACAAAUCUUCAACCGCUUGCCUUUCUCUGCAACUUGUACUCUCUCAAGCUAAAUUCACCAAAGCUUUCCGCAGUACAAUCAUAUAUUUACACAGCAUCUACAUACUUAUAUGUACUUUUUGCAAGUAUAAAUGAUAAUUUGUUAUAUAAUUUUAGUUCAUUCAUACUACCAGUAUACUCCCCAUGCAUCUGUACAUGUAAAUCAGAGUACAGCUAUGCUUUCUCCCUGUUUGGUCUCUGUUUAUUCAAUCCUCUGGCACCCGAGCAACUAUUGCCCAGCCUAAUAAAACUUGAUAUAACAUCUUAUAUCUUGUUCUGCGUGAAGAGAAAAAGAUCGAGAGAGAGGGGCAAUUAAGAAUAGGGGUUUGUCACAUGAUGCUGCUCCGACUUUCAAAUCCUAUGGGGUUCCUCAUGGCUCAACUGGUAUGCCUUUCUAUUACAAUUAUUUACAAUAUUUUCUCUUUUUCUCAUGAUUUUGAGUGGAAUUGCGAAAGAUGUUGAUUUUAAUCUUGUUUGUUUGUGUGUAUUUGUUUGUUUGUUUAAUCCCUGUGUUUUGUUUGGUUUUUGGUGUUUUGGGCGAUUUUCGUGUAACAUGUGAUACGCUUCGUUGUUCGCUUCGCAUACGACGAGGCAACUUGAUCGAUAGCAUAGCGGUGGUGGCCGAUGGUGGCGGUGACGACGGUUUCAGGACGGGAUCCGGUUUCAGAAAGGAAAACGCGCUAAUUGUGCCUUAAUUGAGGGCGGUAAUUGUGCCUCGUUAAUUAUGCCUAUUUAUUGAGGGCAUAAAUUGUGCCUCAAUUAUUGAGGGCGUAAAUUAUGCCUCUUUAUUGAGGGCGUUAAUUGGGCCUUAUUUGAGGGCGUUAAUUGUGUCUUAAUUAAGGAUAUUAAUAUUUUAUUAUUAUGCCUUAAUUAAGAGCUUAAUUGUCUCAAUCAUGAGUUAUCAUGAUUGUGGGAAUAUUUUGAUGUAAUCUGUUAAAUAUAUCGACUUAUAUUCUUUUUGUUUCU